UCCUCUGUCUGCUCCUCUGCCCCUGGCAUUUCUGGCCUUAAGGAUUAGCUUCCUAGGGCAAGGCAGUAUCCCUUUAUAACAGUUCUGCGGCAGGGGCGCUGAGGAUCAGAAUAAGGAGAGAGAGCAAGCCCUGGAGGCCCGUCUGCUGGACCAGGCAUUAACCCUUUAGAUGCUGGACCAUGAGGAGGUGGGAGGCAUAGGUGGCAGAAAGAGAAGCAGCUGUUUACCAUGGUGUGGAAGUGUUUUGACCCUGGAGAAGGUCCGCAAGCCUCAGCUCUAUGUGUGAGGGCCCCACUGCCUUCAGAGGGGAGGGCACCUCCCAGGUGGAAAGACUGGGAUACGAGUCGGACAUCUGGACCUCCAGGCAGAGCUACAGCCAAUGCCUCCUGGACACCUGUUUUGCAUCUGCGUCUCCCUGGCAACGCUGUCUCCAGGAGAUCAUGGUCAGCUGGUCUGGGUCAAAGCUGGUCCAUUUGGAGUGGGAACAUAUUAGCUCCACGAGGUAGAUGUAAUCAGCUCAGGGAACCGUCAUCUCCUGGAGAAGCCCACGUGGCUGGGUGUCAUGCCAUGGACAGGAAGGAGGCCCUACACCAGCUGCUGACUGCCCUGCCUGGGAAAGACCGUCGGCUUUCAUAUCGCCACCUGACAGCUGAGCAGACUGGUUCAUACUCCUGUGGGCUGGUGUGCCUUGUCAACACUGGGGGAGCUGUCACCCACAGAAUCCAGACCUGGCACCAAGAGCAGAGCAAAGCAGUCCUAGAGAGAAGCCGUCUCCCCCCACCCCCGCCAGCUCUGUGGCUUCAUCCUUAGCAGGCUCUGCCCUCAAGGGCAUGAAGAUGAUGGCCAGAAGCUCCAGGUUUCCAACCUACUAUCCGCACAACCCCAGCAAAAAGAGAAUGCAUCUUUCUCUAUGGAUCUAACAAACGUCCUACGGCUGACUCCCUGGCCCAGCCUGUUCCUGAGGCGGUCACUAUAGCUGAGGGAAUGGCAUUUUCCGAUCAGCCCGACCUGGGUGGGUGAUGCCCCUUUUCCUUGAGUCACUCACAGAGACUGAGAACAAAGAAGGGG
ensembl:lncRNA